UACGUAGGGGGCGAGCGUUGUCCGGAAUUACUGGGCGUAAAGCGCGUGUAGGCUGCUUGGAAAGUCGGAUGUGAAAGCCCUGGGCUCAACCCAGGAAGUGCAUUCGAAACUCCCAAGCUCGAGUACCGGAGAGGAAGGCGGAAUUCUCGGUGUAGAGGUGAAAUUCGUAGAUAUCGAGAGGAACACCUGUGGCGAAGGCGGCCUUCUGGACGGUUACUGACGCUGAGACGCGAAAGCGUGGGGAGCAAACAGG
rnacentral:rRNA from 1 species